rnacentral:tRNA from 1 species
GUUUAAAUAGCUUAAUUUUAAAGCUUAGUAUUGAAGAUACUACAAUGAUUAUAAAAUCUUUAAACA